rnacentral:rRNA from 1 species
AGGACGAACGCUGGCGGCGCGCUUAACACAUGCAAGUCGAGCGAGAACCGGGGCUUCGGCCCCGGGGACAGCGGCGAACGGGUGAGUAACACGUGAGUAACCUGCCCUCGGCACCGGAAUAGCCCGGGGAAACUCGGAUUAAUGCCGGAUAGCCCCUCCGCCUUACGGGGCGGCGGGAAAAGGUAGCUUCGGCCUCUGGCCGAGGAUGGGCUCGCGGCGGAUUAGCUUGUUGGCGGGGUAACGGCCCACCAAGGCGACGAUCCGUAGCUGGUCUGAGAGGACGAUCAGCCACACUGGGACUGAGACACGGCCCAGACUCCUACGGGAGGCAGCAGUGGGGAAUUUUGGACAAUGGGGGCAACCCUGAUCCAGCGACGCCGCGUGGAGGAUGAAGGUCUUCGGGAUUGUAAACUCCUUUUGGAGGGGAUGAAUGCCCUGGUGAAGAAUCAGGGGUGACAGUACCCUGGAAUAAGCCACGGCUAACUACGUGCCAGCAGCCGC